AUGCCUGGUCGCCUGGACGCGGACGCGGUCACGCGGCGACUCACGCGGAUGCCGGCCGGACGCUGGACGCCUGGACGCGGCCACGCGGGUGGCCGCCUGAGCGCCUCCGCCGCUCCGCGCCUGGGCGGGUUCGAGGACUCGAGGUCCGUGGCGGAAGCAUCAAGCAGGAGCUCAAGCGUUAUUACUAAUUAUGUUGGUUAUCUCAGCAAAGGUCAGAUACCACCAAAGCACAUCUCGCUUGUCAAUUUAACUGUUACUCUGAACAUAGAGGGGAGCAAAUACACGAUUGAGACAGUAAGGGGUGGACCCCGCAGCUACAAAUUAAGAAUGAAUGGAUCAGAAAUUGAAACAGAGAUACAUUCACUGCGAGAUGGUGGACUUUUAAUGCAGUUGGAUGGAAACAGUCAUGUAAUUUAUGCAGAGACAGAGGCUGCUGGUACACGCCUUCUCAUUAAUAGUAGAACGUGCUUACUAUAG